rnacentral:lncRNA from 1 species
AUGAGGAAAAAUUAUGAAUGGCUCUCUCUCCUUCCCUCCCACUUUUCCACUGAUGUUUUGAGACUUCCCACCAGCAGCUGUUUCCUAUUACCCAGAAGGGCUGACAAGGUGCAGGCCUCCAAUGGAGCCUCCGUUGGCAGAUUUAUUAUUGUAUUAUGAGAAAGCCUGGCCCAUUGGGAAAGACAUUUCCCAAUGUUUGACUGACAAAAACGUCUCCAGGAAUCAGCCUUUAAGACUCACCUGCCUCUUCUGCCUUUUGAAAUAGUCGCUUGAGAUUUCUUGUGUUUGCAAAGUUUCACAAAUUGGACCUUGGUGCAUGCCCUUUCAAGGACCUCAGACUACAAUCUGAACCUUCCGAUUCUUUUGUUUUAGAAGAUCAGUGCUAAACGCAUUCAGCGUUGUUCUGCUUGAAUAUUUUUGAAGGAUUCGCUGUAUUUGACAUUUAUUUUCUGUGUUUGUUGCCCUGUAAUAUUUAUUAUGCUUAACGUCAUCAAAUGCAUGCCAUAGAAUGUUGUUUGCUAACAUUAAAUAAAGAGUUGAUCUGCAAGACCAUUCAAUAUUUAAUGCAUUUGACACUUCAAAAUAGUACACCAGCAUUGUCAUCUUCGUUAUUAACUUCUUCUCCUACCUCAUAAAAUGUCAGAGUAAUUUACAUAGCACAGCAGUAGUUGGAUGGAGUCAGUGGAAUGGAGAACGAAGUGACAUCCAGAGACUUUGGUAAAAUUAUAUACAAAGUUUUACUGUACAAGACAAACAGACUUGCAGACAAUAGACACAGGACUCUCACUCUAGGCAAACAGAACAGAACUGAACUGAUGUAAUCAGUAAUGUACAAACACUUGUGUCUGGACACUCCCCAGUUCCAGCCACACAUCAAGGUCAUCACAGCUUCUUAGUAAUUAACUCAGAAGUACAAAGCCAGGUUAGUUGCCAAGGGGUUCACACAGGUAAAAUUUGAAAACUAUGACAAGACUUUUGCCCCCACUGCUAGGCCUGAAAGCCUAAGAUUAAUGUUAACCCUGGCAGCGAAAUGACAUAAAAGUCCAAGGUGGUUAACAAUCUUGCACAUGGUCCAAACCACAGAUUACAAAUACCUAAAAUUCCAAGUCCAAGCAUCACAAGUUACGACAUGCCUAAAAUCACAAGAUUGCAAAAUAUUUGCUGAAGUUCAAGUAAACAAUAAAAAUGAAACCCUCAUUGCUUAAAUCAUUUUGUUGAUCCUGAUUUGAGUAGAUUCAUGUAAGAUAUUGAACCUACCCUUCAUCUACAAUUAAUGACUCUACUCUGGUUGGCACUAAGAAUGAAAUUCGAAACACUUAUUCCCUGAAAGCAUGGGAAAUCAGAUAUAUUAUUAAUUGAUGCCUUGUGUAAUAUUCCUCAUUAAUAACUUCUGCCAUCUCAUCCAAAUCUGAGGUUCUUGACUACACAUGUCCCAGUGUUCACCUUGAAAUAUUGGAAGGUACAAAGGCAUGUGAGAUGAUAAAUAAAUCAGAUUUAUCAUGCCACCAAGAAUUCCAAUAUUAGAAAUUAUAUUUUAGAGUCAAUGAAACUUGAUUAUGAUCUACUUUCCCCAUUUUUAAAUAAAAAUAACGUAAGCCUGAGGGCAUUGAGAUCUGGACUGGUGGCUUUGGCCUCUUCACCCUGGAAACCCACAUUCUUUCCAAAGCACAGGUUGUAGCCAAGACUAACAGAUUGUGGGGAAAUUAUAAAUAAACAUGAUACAGUACAAGCUUCUCAACCUGGUCAGAACCUCUGAGAAAGUCCACAUGGCCUCUUAGUCAAAGGGAAUUGAUGCUAAGUGUUAUCCCAUUAGACUGUGAAAGGCUCUCAGGGAGGAAGAAGGAGACCACAAUGGGAUGGGAGAACGGACUUAGCAUGAGAAAUUCCCUGAUAAUGUAUCAGCAUUGGUUCCCCUGAGCGAUUUCGAAUGAGGCGUGCUAUGGCUAAAAGCUCUGAAACAGAAGUGCAGAUAUCAAAACAGAAGCCUGGAUCAAAUCUUCAUUCUAAACAACCUUCUAUCACAAGGGAUUGAUUGUCGUACUAGUUAUAACAAUCGCUCUGAAACAGACCAUUUAUUUUGCAGGGUGGGCCUGGGAAUUGAAAAUCUCAGACCAAGUUGCUGUUUCUCACAGUUUCUUCGACUUUUGGAUCUAUAGCCACGACUUUCAUGACAUUUUAAAAAGUGGAUUUUAACAACAGCAAUGUUGUCUUCUUUAGUUUAAAAAAAAGCUAUCCCAUUAAAGGGAAGACAAUGAAAAACUCAAUCAAGAGAUCACAAAGUCACUGUUUUAUUUAAACUCAUGGAGCCCCCAAUGGCGUAAUGGAUUAAAGCCUUGUGACUUGAAGGUUGGGUUGCUGAUCUGCAGGCUGCCAGGUUC